GACGAACGCUGGCGGCGUGCUUAACACAUGCAAGUCGAACGGUAAGGCCCUUCGGGGUACACGAGUCGCGAACGGGAGAGUAACACGUGGGUGACCUGCCCUGCACCUCGGGACAAGCCUGGGCAACUGGGCCUAAUACCGGAUAUGACCCUGGGAUUCAUUUCCUCGGGCGGAAAACUGUUGCAGUGGGGGAUGGGCCCGCGGCCUAUCAGCUUGUUGGUGGGGUAAUGGCCUACCAAGGCGACGACGGGUAGCCGGCCUGAGAGGGUGACCGGCCACACUGGGACUGAGAUACGGCCCAGACUCCUACGGGAGGCAGCAGUGGGGAAUAUUGCACAAUGGGCGCAAGCCUGAUGCAGCGACGCCGCGUGAGGGAUGACGGCCUUCGGGUUGUAAACCUCUUUCAGCACCGACGAAGCGCAAGUGACGGUAGGUGCAGAAGAAGGACCGGCCAACUACGUGCCAGCCGCCGCAGUAAAAC
rnacentral:rRNA from 1 species